rnacentral:tRNA from 6 species
GCGUCUAUAGCUCAGUUGGUUAGAGCGCUACCUUGACAUGGUAGAGGUCGCCUGUUCGAAUCAGGCUAGACGCACCA